UGGGGAAUUUUGGACAAUGGGCGCAAGCCUGAUCCAGCCAUGCCGCGUGCAGGAUGAAGGCCUUCGGGUUGUAAACUGCUUUUGUACGGAACGAAAAGGUUUGGCCUAAUAAGCUGAGCUCAUGACGGUACCGUAAGAAUAAGCACCGGCUAACUACGUGCCAGCAGCCGCGGUAAUACGUAGGGUGCGAGCGUUAAUCGGAAUUACUGGGCGUAAAGCGUGCGCAGGCGGUUAUGUAAGACAGAUGUGAAAUCCCCGGGCUCAACCUGGGAACUGCAUUUGUGACUGCAUAGCUGGAGUGCGGCAGAGGGGGAUGGAAUUCCGCGUGUAGCAGUGAAAUGCGUAGAUAUGCGGAGGAACACCGAUGGCGAAGGCAAUCCCCUGGGCCUGCACUGACGCUCAUGCACGAAAGCGUGGGGAGCAAACA
rnacentral:rRNA from 1 species